rnacentral:rRNA from 1 species
UAACGAAUAUUCCACAAUGCGCGAAAGCGUGAUGGAGCGAUGCCGCGUGCAGGAUGAAGCCCCUCGGGGUGUAAACUGCUGUCAGGGGUUACCAACUCAAUGAGGAACCCCAGAGGAAGAGGCGGCUAACUCUGUGCCAGCAGCCGCGGUAAUACAGAGGCCUCGAGCGUUAAUCGGAGUCACUGGGCUUAAAGGGUGCGUAGGCGGACUCGUAAGUGCUUUGUGAAAUCCCACGGCUUAACCGUGGAACUGCUUGGUAGACUGCGAGUCUUGAGGUUGGUAGGGGUCGCUGGAACUCUAGGUGGAGCGGUGAAAUGCGUAGAUAUCUAGAGGAACGCCGAUGGUGAAGACAGGCGACUGGGCCAAUACUGACGCUGAGGCACGAAAGCGUGGGGAGCAA